rnacentral:rRNA from 1 species
GACGAACGCUGGCGGCGUGCUUAACACAUGCAAGUCGAGCGGUAAGGCCCUUUCGGGGGUACACGAGCGGCGAACGGGUGAGUAACACGGGAGCAAUCUGCCCUUACCUUUGGGAUAACCACCGGAAACGGUGGCUAAUACCGAAUAAGUGCACCGGCCGCAUGGUCUGGAGGUGGAAAGUUCUGGCGGUGGAGGAUGAGCUCGCGGCCUAUCAGCUUGUUGGUGGGGUAAGGGCCUACCCAGGCGACGACGGGUAGCCGGCCUGAGAGGGUGACCGGCCACACUGGGACUGAGACACGGCCCAGACUCCUACGGGAGGCAGCAGUGGGGAAUAUUGCACAAUGGGCGCAAGCCUGAUGCAGCGACGCCGCGUGAGGGAUGACGGCCUUCGGGUUGUAAACCUCUUUCAGCACCGACGAAGCGCAAGUGACGGUAGGUGCAGAAGAAGGACCGGCCAACUACGUGCCAGCAGCCGCCGUAA